AUGGCUAGACGGAAAUUAAACUUUUUUAUUUUUAUGAAAAUCGAAUUUAGUUUUUUAGUUAAAAAACUAAAAUAAUUUUAAGGGACGAUAAGACCCUAUAGAAUUUAAUAAUAAGAAUGAAUAACAUUUUUUUGUUGGGGUGACAAGUAAUAAACUUUUCUUUUUUUUCCAUGAAAAAUGGUUUAAAGAUCCUAAUAGUUAGAUAAAAGGAUAAAAUUACCUUAGGGAUAACAGCAUCAUUUUUUUUAGAAGAUCUAAUUUAUAAAAAAGAUUAUGACCUCGAUGUUGAAUUAAAAAUAUGGUUAGGUGCAGAAUUUUAAUCAUUUAGUCUGUUCGACUUUAAAAUUUUACAUGAUUUGAGUUCAAACCGGCGUGAGCCAGGUUGGUUUCUAUCUUUUGAAUUC
rnacentral:rRNA from 1 species